rnacentral:lncRNA from 1 species
AUGGGCCCUCAGAAAUGGGAUGCCGGUGGAAUUGAAGACGGCACAGAACACGUCUUGGAAAAUGGUGACUCAGAACGUUUCCUAGGCUCCCCUCUCAAGAACGGCUCUCUUUUUUGGACUCCUGCUGCAAUAUCCCCAUGGUUCUUGUUCUUGUAUCGUUUUUGGUGCCACACUGCUUGGAUCAAACUGGAUUUUGCUGCUUCUCUUGGCAAAAAAGGCCUGCUCUCUCUAAAGGGGUUAUUUCCUAACCCCAAACCCAUCCAGAGCCCAUACCCUUCACCCUCCCUACGACCUCAUGUUGCUGAGGUCCCAAUCACAACAAAAACAAAUCCAUGUAAGUUACAACAGAUAGAUGUCGAGACAAAAGAGAAAAUAAUGGAAAGAUGGUAGAGACGUAGGAAAAAAUAUAUUGAAAAAAAGAGAACAGGUGAUUAAGUUUUCUUGUUUGAAAGCUCAACAACCAUUUUCUUAGUGACAUAUGAUAAUGUACAGAAUCUAUUUACAAACUUUCCUAUUGUUGAACCAUUCCAAAAAGCGAUGAUGAACCAUUCCGAAAACCAUGUUUUUGUGCACAGAAUUGCAAAUUCAAAGUGAGAAAAAUUCUCAGUCUUUUGCGACAGGGAUGUCACUCAAUGAAACGUGUUUGAUCACUCAGUUGUGUGGAGUGCUGACUUCUGGUGGAGACAAGAAUUGCCUCACUUAUUUAUUCAGCAAAUAUUUAUUAGCACCUACUAAAGGUUUUUUCUAUUUGCUUAGACAAACAGAUUAAAAAUACCGUGUGUUGGAAGGUGAUGAUGCUAUGAAAAAAUAGAGUAGAAAGGCUGAGUAAAGGGGAUUAGAUGGUGGGGGAGGGGGACAAAUUGGGCCGUUGAUAGACUGGUGAGACCAGAGAAGGUGAAAUGUGAGCACAGAUUUGAAAGAGUGGAAGAGGUGAAUUUUUACAGCUGCGCUUUCUCCCUCAUCUCUUCCAACCUCUCUUCUUCCUCCUAUGUUUUUUUUGCCUAUACUUCCUUGAUUUUUCUUAGUCUAUAUUAAUAGUCUAAUUGAUUUUAAGACAUGGAUAUUCAAACUACAGUCAUGAGUGGCAUAACAAUAUUUCGGUCAACAAUGGACUGCAUAUAUGGCGGAGGUCCCAUAAGAUGAGGAGCGUAUGGCCUAGCUGUGCAGUAGGCUGUACCAUCUAGGUUUGUCUAAGCGCAUUCUGAGAUGUUUGCACAACAAUGAAAUCACCUGACAAUGCAUUUCUCAGAACACGUCCCCGUCGGUAAGUGAUGCAUGACUGCAUUCAGAAAAACGUGAAUGAGAAAGUCAAAGUGAUCUGAAAUCUUACCAGGCACUACAAUUUUGGUGAAAAUUCCACUAUAUAUGUCUAUGUAUAUGAACUGAUAUAUUUGCAAUUUUUAAAAAAUGGGUUCAUGUUACAUACACUACUUUACUACUCUAUAACCUACCUUUCUAUGAAAUAGUAUUUUUUAAGUCGUUUUCAUGGCCUUUUAAAAAACUACAUUCUUAUAGGUACUCCAUCACAUGUUUUAAAAAAUGAAAUAUUAUAAAAAUAUAUACAUUAAAAAAUCUCACUCCUAUUCCUCAAAAAAUUAACAAUAGAACUAUCAUAUGACCCAGCUAUCCCACUACUGGGUAUCUACCCAAAGAGCUUGAAGUCAGCAAUUCCAAAAGUCCUAUGCACCCCAAUGUUUAUUGCAGUAUUAUUUACAAUAGCCAAGACAUGGAAGCAACCUAAGUGCCCAGCAACAGAUGAUUGGAUAAAGAAGAUGUGGUAUAUAUACACAAUGGAAUCCUACUCAGCCGUAAAACAGAAUAAAAUCGUCCCAUUUGCAACA